rnacentral:rRNA from 1 species
CCUACGGGUGGCAGCAGUGAGGAAUAUUGGUCAAUGGUCGGGAGCCUGAACCAGCCAAGCCGCGUGAGGGAUGAAGGCACAGGGUAUCGUAAACCUCUUUUGUCAGGGAAAAAAGGCGGGGACGCGUCCCCGGAUGAGUGUACCAGAAGAAAAAGCAUCGGCUAACUCCGUGCCAGCAGCCGCGGUAAUACGGAGGAUGCGAGCGUUAUCCGGAUUUAUUGGGUUUAAAGGGUGCGCAGGGGGGUUGUUAAGUCAGCUGUCAAAGCCCGGGGCUCAACCCCGAGCCGGCCUUUGAAACUGGCAGUCUCGAGUUGGGGAGAGGUAGGCGGAAUGCGCGGUGUAGCGGUGAAAUGCAUAGAUAUCGCGCAGAACUCCGAUUGCGAAGGCAGCAUGCCGGCUCCACACUGACGCUGAGGCACGAAAGCGUGGGUAUCGAACAGGAUUAGAUACCCGAGUAGUC